ACAAAGUGACAGGUGGUGCAUGGUUGUCGUCAGCUCGUGUCGUGAGAUGUUGGGUUAAGUCCCGCAACGAGCGCAACCCUUAAGCUUAGUUGCCAUCAUUAAGUUGGGCACUCUAGGUUGACUGCCGGUGACAAACCGGAGGAAGGUGGGGAUGACGUCAAAUCAUCAUGCCCCUUAUGAUUUGGGCUACACACGUGCUACAAUGGACAAUACAAAGGGCAGCUAAACCGCGAGGUCAUGCAAAUCCCAUAAAGUUGUUCUCAGUUCGGAUUGUAGUCUGCAACUCGACUACAUGAAGCUGGAAUCGCUAGUAAUCGUAGAUCAGCAUGCUACGGUGAAUACGUUCCCGGGUCUUGUACACACCGCCCGUCACACCACGAGAGUUUGUAACACCCGAAGCCGGUGGAGUAACCAUUUAUGGAGCUAGCCGUCGAAGGUGGGACAAAUGAUUGGGGUGAAGUCGUAACAAGGUAGCCGUAUCGGAAGGUGCGGCUGGAUCACCUC
rnacentral:rRNA from 1 species